AGAUUACCUGCAAUCUGCAUUAGGCGGCACUUCCCGAAAUACGCAAUAAGAGUUCGCCCUUUGGCCAAUGCAUUUGUCAGUUAAUUGUUGAAACAAGGAAAGCCACAGUUUCUUCAGCAGCUGAAACGCUCCCGACUGUCUCUGCUCCCGACUCCCGACUGUCUCCGCUCCACUCCGACUCCACCCCCAGACUUUAAGGAGAAACAUCUCCAUCAUUUAAAGUGCAUAGAAAUGUUUAUCUUAACCUGAGGAUCACCAUAGAAAUGAAUGCACAAGGAAAGGGUUUAAAAUGCCAGCUGCCAGUUCUGGGGUGCGAGUGAGUGCUGUGAAGGUCACAGCAGAAGAACAGCAACUAGGCAUCCCUGCGGUUUGCAGGUAAAAGUCUUUUCUCUCUCUGGCUGGCGGCAAGUCAUCAAAGCCACAGUCAAAAAGGAAACAGGACAACUCCUUCAGCUAACCUGUAGAACCAAAUGCUCCAAACCAACUGCUCAACUGCCAAAGUCACCUCUACUAGAAUCGCUCAACGGCCACAACGUUUCGCCAGCUACUCCCCACGGACAAGCUAAAGAUGGAUUCAUAUGUCUUUUUAGCUUUUAUUUUUAGACUCAACUCAUUUCUAAUCUGCAUAUGUUUAUGUGUUGCGUUUUUAAAAUUUUUUUC